GCUCUAAGUCUAAAAGCCACAGAAGACUGAUCUACCACAAAGUUACUGUAUAAAAGAUAAAUUUUUUUACAUGAAUCAUUUUUCUUAACCUCAAAAAAAGCAGUUCUUAAAAAGGACCAUGCAAGGCAAUCUUAAUAAUCAAUGGGAAAAGUUACGAUUGUUCUGUGACCUUUAAAAUUUGUCAGAAUAUUAAGUAGUCUAUUACUGACGGUUAUGUAAAUGCAUAAGGAAAUGAAAUAGUAAAACCAAUACCAACUUAGUAUGCUGUAACUUAAAACAUUAGGAACACUGAUAUUAAAGUGUAUCAUUUCUUUGUAUUAAAAAAAAUCUAUCAAGAAUAGUUUGAACAGUGCUUGCCUUCUUCUAGUGAUAUUUAUUAUGAUAUGGAAUGCGUCUAUCUUCUAUGCCUUGGCAAACUGUCAUACUCCUAAGUUUAGAUCACAUUCCAAUAUUUUAUCCUUCAUGCUUUCAAUGAUGUGAAAUAUCCUCAAUGUUUUUUGUUGGUAUCACUUCUAUUAAUAGGAUAUCUUCAUAUUUUCCAUUACAACUACCUUUUUCAUUUAUGUUGAUAAGCUUGCCUUCACUAAGUUUCUCUGGCUGGACAAUUAGUGUCUCUCCAACUGCAAACCAUCUAUAUUCACAAGGAUGACUCCAUGGAUACAGAACCCACAGAUACAGCAGGCCAACUGUAUAUGAAGAGUGGAAACUGAAACCAACAUAGAACAUAUUAUUAUGUGCUAUUCCAGACCGCACCAGCAGCAAAAUAUAUGGCAUAUGUACUCUCCCUGCCUUCCUAAAAUCCCAGAAUUCUGAAUUGUUAAUCAUAUCAUUUCAGGUAAGGAGUCUGAACCUAUUUGAC
rnacentral:lncRNA from 10 species